UAUCUGCCAGAUUAUUCCUCAUGUCUCAGUGCAAGCCGUAUUCCGGCGAUACCGCGAAUGGCUCAAUAUAUCAGUUUUGGUUCCUUAGAUCUUACUCAGUUACUUGGAUAACUGUGGUAAUUCUAGAGCUAAUACAUGCAAUCAGAACUCUGACCAGUGAUGGGAUGAGUGCUUUUAUUAGAUCAAAACCAAUCGACGGAGGGCCUCGCGUCCGAAGUCGUAACAUUUUGAUGAAUCUGGAUAACUUUUGCCGAUCGCACGGUCCAGUACCGGCGACGCAUCUUUCAAAUGUCUGCCUUAUCAACUCUCGAUGGUAGUUUCUGCGACUACCAUGGGUUGUCACGGGUAACGGGGAAUCAGGGUUCGAUUCCGGAGAGGGAGCCUGAGAACGGCUACCACAUCCAAGGAAGGCAGCAGGCGCGCAAAUUACCACUCCCCGGCACGGGGGAGGUAGUGACGAAAAAUAACGAUACGGGACUCUUACGAGGCUCGUAAUCGGAAUGAGUACACUUUAAUAUUUUACGAGGACAAUUGGAGGCAAGUCUGGGCCACCACCCCGGUAAUCCACUCCAUAGCGUAUACUAAAUUGUGCGGUAAAACUCGAAUUGAUUUGGCCCCCCUGCGGGGCCCCUCCCGGGACUGAACUUUGGGAAAUUUAUUCAACCCGGAAAUUUCCCCAGGCCCGCCCCCGGAAGGAUUGACAGAUUAACAGUCUUUCUUGAUUCGUGGGUGGUGGUGCAUGGCCGUUCUAAGUGGUGGAGCGAUUUUUUGGUUAAUUCCGGUAACGAACGAGACUAUAGCCUGCUAAAUAGGCGUCGUCAUUUAGGUGCGUGUCGCUGUGCCGGCAACGGUUGCAGCGCACAACUCACUGGCGACGUAUUAAAAUUCUUAUUAGAGGGACCCGGCGGCUUCGAGCCGCACGAGAUUGAGCAAUAACAGGUCUGUGAUGCCCUUAGAUGUCCUGGGCCGCACGCGCGCUACACUGAAGGAAUCAACAUGUUCUCCCUGGCCUAGAGGCCCGGGCAACCCGUUGAAACUCCCUUCGUGCUGGGGAUUGGGGUUUGCAAUUAUCCCCCAUAAACGAGGAAUUCCUAGUAAGCGCGAGUCAUAAGCUCGCGUUGAUUACGUCCCUGCCCUUUGUACACACCGCCCGUCGCUACUACCGAUUGAAUGAUUUAGUGAGGUCUUCGGACCGACACGCGGUGGCUUCACGGCCGUCGGCGUUGCUGGGAAGAGACCAAACUUGAUCAUUAGGAGAAGAAAAGCGACAAGU
rnacentral:rRNA from 1 species